GACGAACCGUGCGAACGUUGUUCGGAUUCACUGGGCUUAAAGGGCGCGUAGGCGGCUUGCCAAGUCAGGGGUGAAAUCUUUCGGCUCAACCGGAAAAGUGCCUUUGAUACUGGCGAGCUAGAGGGAGGUAGGGGUGCGUGGAACUUCUGGUGGAGCGGUGAAAUGCGUAGAUAUCAGAAGGAACGCCGGUGGCGAAAGCGACGCACUGGAUCUCUACUGACGCUGAGGCGCGAAAGCUAGGGGAGCGAACGGG
rnacentral:rRNA from 1 species